AGCAGCCGCGGUAAUUCCAGCUCCAAUAGCGUAUAUUAAGGUUGCUGCAGUUAAAAAGCUCGUAGUUGAAUUUCGGGACCGAUAUAUCGGUCGUGCCUCGGUACGUACUGGUAUUUUCGGUUUCUACCUUCUGACGAACCUUGAUGUCAUUAAUUUGGUGUCUUGGGGAAUCAGGACUGUUACUUUGAAAAAAUUAGAGUGUUUAAAGCAGGCUCACGCUUGAAUACAUUAGCAUGGAAUAAUGAAAUAGGACGUUUGAUUCUAUUUUGUUGGUUUCUAGGAUCGACGUAAUGAUUAAUAGGGAUAGUUGGGGGCAUUAGUAUUCAAUUGUCAGAGGUGAAAUUCUUGGAUUUAUUGAAGACUAACUACUGCGAAAGCAUUUGCCAAGGAUGUUUUCAUUAAUCAAGAACGAAAGUUAGGGGAUCGAAGACGAUCAGAUACCGUCGUAGUCUUAACCAUAAACUAUGCCGACUAGGGAUCGGAUGAUGUUAAUUUUUAAUGACUCAUUCGGCGCCUUACG
rnacentral:rRNA from 1 species